AAAUAAGAAGAGAAAUGUAGAAGAUAUCCAGAUAUACUCAGUAUCUGCCCAGACCACUGCACUGAAUUGCUUCCCCUUUGGAGAACAAUCCACCUGCAGACUGCGAAUGCCUUGGAAUGGUGGGAGAUGCAGGCUGAUCCACACAUAGCUCAAGCUCUCCUAAGGCUGGGUUCCUGGAUGUACUGACUGAAAGCACCUGUCCCUGGAAGCAUCUUGAAGAGGCUGUUUGCUGUGGCUUUCCUGACCAUCUCAGCUCUUUGGAAUGGACCAGGAUGGGCGGGGGAGUGCAUGGAAAGGAGAUCGAGCUUAUUCCUGUGUCAUUACUGAUCCCCCUGCUUAUUGCCUACACACAACAGAAACCUGGAUCCACCUGAAGCCUUCCAUGAAGCCAAAGGGGCUCAUGCAACUCAGAACAACUAACAAGACCCAUAGAAAGACUGGAUGGAUAGUUCCAAGUCCAAGGCCAGCGUCCUCAUUGCUCCACUGAAACAUCUGGUGAUGGCAUAAUCACCAGCUGUGUAACAGUCCCCGAGAAACAAGCUUCAUGAUGCAGUCAUCUUCCGUUCCAGCAGUGUGCCCAUAAGGUGCAAAACCAAGAAGCAGUUGGAUUUCAUGAAUGAUUGCUGCUGGAGAAAGGGGUUGGUGCUGCCUCUUGAUUCUCUACUGAAGGCUAAAUUAUAU